rnacentral:rRNA from 1 species
CAUAGCCGAGUUGAGAGACUGAUCGGCCACAUUGGGACUGAGACACGGCCCAAACUCCUACGGGAGGCAGCAGUAGGGAAUCUUCCACAAUGGACGCAAGUCUGAUGGAGCAACGCCGCGUGAGUGAAGAAGGGUUUCGGCUCGUAAAGCUCUGUUGGUAGUGAAGAAAGAUAGAGGUAGUAACUGGCCUUUAUUUGACGGUAAUUACUUAGAAAGUCACGGCUAACUACGUGCCAGCAGCCGCGGUAAUACGUAGGUGGCAAGCGUUGUCCGGAUUUAUUGGGCGUAAAGCGAGUGCAGGCGGUUCAAUAAGUCUGAUGUGAAAGCCUUCGGCUCAACCGGAGAAUUGCAUCAGAAACUGUUGAACUUGAGUGCAGAAGAGGAGAGUGGAACUCCAUGUGUAGCGGUGGAAUGCGUAGAUAUAUGGAAGAACACCAGUGGCGAAGGCGGCUCUCUGGUCUGCAACUGACG